rnacentral:lncRNA from 1 species
CACAACUAAAACACCUUACAUACAUGUACAUACCUCUAUUUUAUCCUUGUACGGAAAUGAGAGCAAUGUUUCUCUGUGAACUGGUAAUACUUCAGAAGGGAAACAAAAAGAAGCACAGAUGUGGAAUCAGAAGACCUGUGAUCCAGGUGGACACCUGCCCCCAAUAGCUAAUAGCCUAAUCACGUGUGUUCUACAGCCACUGUGACCUCCUUCAACCUCUCCUUGCUCAUGUGUAGACAGACACAGUCACAGACCCUAGCAGCUGCAAAGAUAGUGUAUGCGGAGGACUUUGUGAACUGGUAAGUACUACACAAAUGUUAAUGCUAAAGCUGGCUUGGUGAGCCAUGAGGUCCAUUCCUUGGAGC